CAAUCUCUUCUAGAAAAGCUCCAGUGAUGAAGCCCUCAGAAUUUAUGAAGAGGGAGCAAUUGCAGGCAACAAUCCACUUGGCUGAAUUUCUAUGGUGUUGGAUGGUGGGAAGAAUCACCAGGAAGUUCUCAGAGUCAGCCUUUGCAGUUAGCUACGACCGAACAUGAUUAAACAAAUAAGAAAUUAUGAGGUACACGAUUCCACGAAGGACAGCAGUAUGAUCAAAAAAAAAAAAAUUAAGUUGUUGGUCAUAAUGGUGAUUUGGAGAAUAAAUCGACUCCCUCUUCCUGGGACAGCCUUCCAAGUAUUGGAAGUAUUGGAAGAAGCCUUGUCUUUAUUAGCAGAGGUGAUAUUCAGACGGUUUGGAACGGUUCAGGAGAACAGUCUUUCAGAUCUAUGGCACCGAACAGAUGGCCUCCGAUAGUUGACAGUCAGCGCAUUCUAAUCUGAAGCUCCCCCCCUACCACCACCUUCUUCUUCUUCUUCUUCUUCUGGAUACUGAAAAGCCUGCACAUAAACAGAAGGGAAAAAAGACAAAAAGAAAAAGAAAAAAACCACAGUUGGGGACAAAUGAUUGAAGUAGACUUACGGCAUUAGGAAAUUCUGCAUUUAAUAGACACGGUUUUGCAGGAAAUCCAAAGGCUUCGUGGCAACUGUGAGGCAGCACAAGAUGGCUUCAGCCAGGUUCGCUUCAGAGUUGACAUAUACAAGGGAAUCAUCUGCAAGUACAUCUGGAUCCGCGUGGGACAACCUUAAAUACCUGGAAGGCGGAGACUGGGUAUCCCAUCAGGACCAGAGGUCAAAGAUGUGAAGCUGCAAACAAGAUUUUAUGGCCUGAGAGAAGCCUUUAUGUAAAUAUCUUC